rnacentral:lncRNA from 1 species
AGUUACCCGUGCUCCAGGAUUCAGGAGGGUCUCCUGAACCCGGCCUUGAGCAAGGGAAGCGAGUAGAUACUCCUCCCACCGGCUUUUGGGAAAGACGUGCUCUGCCCUGGGACCUGGGCCAGGACAGGAGGUACCCAGAUUCAGAUGUGCUCAAAGUGCUUCUGUCUAGUAGAGAAAGUAGAGGGAGUGACAGAGUGUGCACCCACCUGGAGAGGGGGGCCAUGCAGGGCCUUGGAGACUACGGUAAGGAGUUUGCUGUUUAUCCUGAGAGCGAUGGGGAUGGCCUUGGAGGAGCUCCAAGAAAAACAAACCAACAAACACAUGAAUGCAGAGCCAGCAUGGUUGGGGGUCUGUAGAGGCAGCUUGUCAUGGCUGGAACAGAAUGGAUUCCUGAGCACCAGCUCACAUCCUGGUCCAUCCACCGUGUUUCCAUCCCCCGUGUAG